GUAAUCAGUAUAACAGUAUAUUCUGUGGUGAAAACAUUGGUUCCAAUGACUAGACUGAACUUAAAUUUUGUCAGAAAACACAACACGAUGAUAAUUUUCUUCUGCAUAACCUUUGAUCUUUUUCUGCUUUCAGGUUCCUCACUCAACGUACACCAGACUCCAGCUGACAUGUACAGCAAACCCGGAGGAACGGCCAAAAUCCACUGUUCACACAGUAUUCGGAGCUAUGAUAGCAUUCUCUGGUACAGGCAAAUAAAUAAUAGGCAACUACAGUUCCUGGGAUACCUCUAUAUAAACAUGAAAAACCCUGAGGAUGGAAUGAACGUGAAGAUAGAUGGGCAAGCAGAAAAAGACCAGAACUGCACAUUAACAAUUGAAAAACUCAACAGCAGUGCAGUUUACUUCUGUGCUGCUAGAUACACAGUGCUACAGAACACUGCUCCUCAGUACAAAAACGUCAUCAGACAUUUUUAUCUCUGUGUUACAGCUCACAGCUCCUUGCACCUGUAGUAACUCAUUCUCGUCAACAUUGCUUUUUCAUCUCAUUAGGGGCAGAGGUUUUAAUGGGAGGUUCCUUAUUUGGAGCAAUGCCGUAUUUAACCUCCCUCAGACAUUCAUUAUGUGGCUUCAUCUCAUGUUAACAGGAUCACGAUGAUGACUCAAGUUCUCGUACCAUUUGUAGUCUCGUAUUUGUGGCUUCAAGUUCACUGCCAGGGAGUGACCCAAGUCCCUAAAAUCAGCUGGAGUUAUGAGUCCAAAUCUGCAGAGAUGAACUGCAGCCACAACAAAGAUAUUUCUCAUAACCAGAUGUACUGGUACAGGCAGCGUCCAGGGGAGACCAUGACCCUCAUUGUUUACACAGUUGCAAGUGGAAAGCCAGACUAUGGGGGGUUCUCUCAAACCAAGUACUCAGCCAUCAAAGAGAACAUUGAGACCGGGAGUCUUACUGUGAAAGACCUGCAGCCUGAGGACAACGGUGUGUAUUUUUGUGCCGUCAGCAAACACAGUGAUGCGAGAAGCUGAGCAGCUGAACAAAAACUGGCUG